rnacentral:rRNA from 1 species
GAUGAACGCUAGCGGCAGGCCUAACACAUGCAAGUCGAGGGGUAGAAGGAGCUUGCUCCUUUGAGACCGGCGCACGGGUGCGUAACGCGUAUGCAAUCUACCUUGUACAGGGGAAUAGCCCAGAGAAAUUUGGAUUAAUGCCCCAUAGUAUAUAACCUUCGCAUGUUGGUUAUAUUAAAGUUCCAACGGUACAAGAUGAGCAUGCGUCCCAUUAGUUAGUUGGUAAGGUAACGGCUUACCAAGACGAUGAUGGGUAGGGGUCCUGAGAGGGAGAUCCCCCGCACUGGUACUGAGACACGGACCAGAAUCCUACGGGAGGCAGCAGUGAGGAAGAUUAGUGAAUGAUCGCAAGACUGAACCAGCCAUGCCGCGUGCAGGAAGACGGUCCUAUGGAUGGUAAUCUGCUUUUAUACAAGAAGAAACCCUCCCACGUGUGGGAGCUUGACGGUACUGUAGGAAUAAGGAUCGGCUAACUCCGUG